UACGUAGGGCGCAAGCGUUGUCCGGAAUUAUUGGGCGUAAAGGGUGCGUAGGCGGUUUGGUAAGUCUGAUGUGAAAUCUAUGGGCUCAACUCAUAGUCUGCAUCGGAAACUGCCGGGCUUGAGUGUGGGAGAGGUGAGUGGAAUUCCUGGUGUAGCGGUGAAAUGCGUAGAUAUCAGGAGGAACACCUGUGGCGAAAGCGGCUCACUGGACCAUAACUGACGCUGAUGCACGAAAGCUAGGGGAGCAAACAGG
rnacentral:rRNA from 1 species